rnacentral:rRNA from 1 species
UGGGGAAUAUUGGACAAUGGGCGCAAGCCUGAUCCAGCAAUGCCGCGUGGGUGAAGACGGCCUGCGGGUUGUAAAGCCCUUUAGGUGGGGAAGAAGGGUGAGGUUUAAAUAGAGCCUGACUUUGACAUUACCCACGGAAUAAGCACCGGCUAACUCCGUGCCAGCAGCCGCGGUAAUACGGAGGGUGCGAGCGUUAAUCGGAAUGACUGGGCGUAAAGCGUGCGUAGGCGGUGGCGUUAGUCAGCCGUGAAAGCCCUGGGCUUAACCUGGGAAUGGCGGUUGAAACGGUGUCACUGGAGUGGGUGAGAGGGCUGUGGAACUCCUGGUGUAGCGGUGAAAUGCGUAGAGAUCAGGAAGAACACCGAUGGCGAAGGCAGCGGCCUGGGGCCACACUGACGCUGAGGCACGAAAGCGUGGGGAGCAAACAGG